rnacentral:rRNA from 1 species
GGUUAAGCGACUAAGCGUACACGGUGGAUGCCCUGGCAGUCAGAGGCGAUGAAGGGCGUGCUAAUCUGCGAUAAGCGCCGGUAAGGUGAUAUGAACCGUUAUAACCGGCGAUACCCGAAUGGGGAAACCCAGUGUGACUCGUCACACUAUCAUUAACUGAAUCCAUAGGUUAAUGAGGCGAACCGGGGGAACUGAAACAUCUAAGUACCCCGAGGAAAAGAAAUCAACCGAGAUUCCCCCAGUAGCGGCGAGCGAACGGGGAGGAGCCCAGAGCCUGAAUCAGCAUGUGUGUUAGUGGAAGCGUCUGGAAAGGCGCGCGAUACAGGGUGACAGCCCCGUACACAAAAGCGCAUGUGCUGUGAGCUCGAUGAGUAGGGCGGGACACGUGGUAUCCUGUCUGAAUAUGGGGGGACCAUCCUCCAAGGCUAAAUACUCCUGACUGACCGAUAGUGAACCAGUACCGUGAGGGAAAGGCGAAAAGAACCCCGGCGAGGGGAGUGAAAAAGAACCUGAAACCGUGUACGUACAAGCAGUGGGAGCCCCACCACCAAAGCAUUCUCUGGUGUUGAAGGCCCUGCAAAGCAGCAUCGCGGUGGCGGAGCGUCGUUUGCGACGCCCAACACACAAAACAAGCGGUGAGUGCUUUGGGGUGGGGUGACUGCGUACCUUUUGUAUAAUGGGUCAGCGACUUAUAUUCUGUAGCAAGGUUAACCGUAUAGGGGAGCCGUAGGGAAACCGAGUCUUAACCGGGCGUUAAGUUGCAGGGUAUAGACCCGAAACCCGGUGAUCUAGCCAUGGGCAGGUUGAAGGUUGGGUAACACUAACUGGAGGACCGAACCGACUAAUGUUGAAAAAUUAGCGGAUGACCUGUGGCUGGGGGUGAAAGGCCAAUCAAACCGGGAGAUAGCUGGUUCUCCCCGAAAGCUAUUUAGGUAGCGCCUCGUGAACUCAUCUCCGGGGGUAGAGCACUGUUUCGG